rnacentral:rRNA from 1 species
ACKGCUCAGUAACACGUGGCUAACCUGCCCUUGGGACGGGAUCACCCCCGGGAAACUGGGGCUAAUCCCCGAUAGGUGAAGAACUCUGGAAUGAGUCUUCGCCCAAAAGGCGUCGGAUCAUGCUUUCGGCGCCGCCCAAGGAUGGGGCCGCGACCGAUCAGGUUGUUGGUGAGGUGACGGCCCACCAAGCCUAUAGCCGGUGCGGGCCGUGAGAGCGGGAGCCCGGAGAUGGGCACUGAGACACGAAUCCAGGCCCUACGGGGCGCAGCAGGCGCGAAAACUUUACAAUGCGAGAAAUCGUGAUAAGGGAACCCCGAGUGCCCGUAAAUUCGGGCUGUCCGCCAGUGUAAAAAGCUGGUGAAGAAAGGGCCGGGCAAGACCGGUGCCAGCCGCCGCGGUAAUACCGGCGGCUCGAGUGGUGGCCACUAUUACUGGGCUUAAAGCGUUCGUAGCUGGGUCGUUAAGUCUCUUGGGAAAUCUAUCGGCUUAACCGAUAGGCGUCCGAGGGAUACUGGCGAUCUAGGGACCGGGAGAGGUGAGGGGUACUUCAGGGGUAGGAGUGAAAUCCUGUAAUCCUUGGGGGACCACCUGUGGCGUAGGCGCCUCACCAGAACGGCUCCGACAGUGAGGGACGAAAGCUGGGGGAGCAAACCGGAUUAGAUACCCGGGUAGUCCCAGCCGUAAACGAUGCGCGUUAGGUGUAUCGAUGACCACGAGUCAUCGAGGUGCCGAAGGGAAACCGUGAAACGCGCCGCCUGGGAGGUACGGUCGCAAGGCUGAAACUUAAAGGAAUUGGCGGGGGAGCAC